rnacentral:rRNA from 1 species
UGGGGAAUAUUGGACAAUGGGCGCAAGCCUGAUCCAGCCAUGCCGCGUGAGUGACGAAGGUCUUCGGAUUGUAAAGCUCUUUUUGGCGGGGACGAUAAUGACGGUACCCGCAGAAUAAGCCCCGGCUAACUUCGUGCCAGCAGCCGCGGUAAUACGAAGGGAGCUAGCGUUGUUCGGAAUCACUGGGCGUAAAGCGCACGUAGGUGGGCAGUUAAGUCAGGGGUGAAAGCCCGAGGCUCAACCUCGGAAUUGCCUCUGAUACUGGCUGUCUAGAGUUCGAGAGAGGUGAGUGGAAUUCCGAGUGUAGAGGUGAAAUUCGUAGAUAUUAGGAAGAACACCAGUGGCGAAGGCGGCCAACUGGCUCGAUACUGACGCUGAGGUGCGAAAGCGUGGGGAGCAAACAGGAUUAGAUACCCUAGUAGUCCCUGAGCGGGCUGGCAAGGCGCAU